UUAAGCGACUAAGCGUACACGGUGGAUGCCCUGGCAGUCAGAGGCGAUGAAGGACGUGCUAAUCUGCGAUAAGCGUCGGUAAGGUGAUAUGAACCGUUAUAACCGGCGAUUUCCGAAUGGGGAAACCCAGUGUGUUUCGACACACUAUCAUUAACUGAAUCCAUAGGUUAAUGAGGCGAACCGGGGGAACUGAAACAUCUAAGUACCCCGAGGAAAAGAAAUCAACCGAGAUUCCCCCAGUAGCGGCGAGCGAACGGGGAGGAGCCCAGAGCCUGAAUCAGUGUGUGUGUUAGUGGAAGCGUCUGGAAAGGCGCGCGAUACAGGGUGACAGCCCCGUACACAAAAAUGCACAUGCUGUGAGCUCGAUGAGUAGGGCGGGACACGUGGUAUCCUGUCUGAAUAUGGGGGGACCAUCCUCCAAGGCUAAAUACUCCUGACUGACCGAUAGUGAACCAGUACCGUGAGGGAAAGGCGAAAAGAACCCCGGCGAGGGGAGUGAAAAAGAACCUGAAACCGUGUACGUACAAGCAGUGGGAGCACGCUUAGGCGUGUGACUGCGUACCUUUUGUAUAAUGGGUCAGCGACUUAUAUUCUGUAGCAAGGUUAACCGAAUAGGGGAGCCGAAGGGAAACCGAGUCUUAACUGGGCGUUAAGUUGCAGGGUAUAGACCCGAAACCCGGUGAUCUAGCCAUGGGCAGGUUGAAGGUUGGGUAACACUAACUGGAGGACCGAACCGACUAAUGUUGAAAAAUUAGCGGAUGACUUGUGGCUGGGGGUGAAAGGCCAAUCAAACCGGGAGAUAGCUGGUUCUCCCCGAAAGCUAUUUAGGUAGCGCCUCGUGAAUUCAUCUCCGGGGGUAGAGCACUGUUUCGGCAAGGGGGUCAUCCCGACUUACCAACCCGAUGCAAACUGCGAAUACCGGAGAAUGUUAUCACGGGAGACACACGGCGGGUGCUAACGUCCGUCGUGAAGAGGGAAACAACCCAGACCGCCAGCUAAGGUCCCAAAGUCAUGGUUAAGUGGGAAACGAUGUGGGAAGGCCCAGACAGCCAGGAUGUUGGCUUAGAAGCAGCCAUCAUUUAAAGAAAGCGUAAUAGCUCACUGGUCGAGUCGGCCUGCGCGGAAGAUGUAACGGGGCUAAACCAUGCACCGAAGCUGCGGCAGCGACGCUUAUGCGUUGUUGGGUAGGGGAGCGUUCUGUAAGCCUGCGAAGGUGUGCUGUGAGGCACGCUGGAGGUAUCAGAAGUGCGAAUGCUGACAUAAGUAACGAUAAAGCGGGUGAAAAGCCCGCUCGCCGGAAGACCAAGGGUUCCUGUCCAACGUUAAUCGGGGCAGGGUGAGUCGACCCCUAAGGCGAGGCCGAAAGGCGUAGUCGAUGGGAAACAGGUUAAUAUUCCUGUACUUGGUGUUACUGCGAAGGGGGGACGGAGAAGGCUAUGUUGGCCGGGCGACGGUUGUCCCGGUUUAAGCGUGUAGGCUGGUUUUCCAGGCAAAUCCGGAAAAUCAAGGCUGAGGCGUGAUGACGAGGCACUACGGUGCUGAAGCAACAAAUGCCCUGCUUCCAGGAAAAGCCUCUAAGCAUCAGGUAACAUCAAAUCGUACCCCAAACCGACACAGGUGGUCAGGUAGAGAAUACCAAGGCGCUUGAGAGAACUCGGGUGAAGGAACUAGGCAAAAUGGUGCCGUAACUUCGGGAGAAGGCACGCUGAUAUGUAGGUGAAGUCCCUCGCGGAUGGAGCUGAAAUCAGUCGAAGAUACCAGCUGGCUGCAACUGUUUAUUAAAAACACAGCACUGUGCAAACACGAAAGUGGACGUAUACGGUGUGACGCCUGCCCGGUGCCGGAAGGUUAAUUGAUGGGGUUAGCGCAAGCGAAGCUCUUGAUCGAAGCCCCGGUAAACGGCGGCCGUAACUAUAACGGUCCUAAGGUAGCGAAAUUCCUUGUCGGGUAAGUUCCGACCUGCACGAAUGGCGUAAUGAUGGCCAGGCUGUCUCCACCCGAGACUCAGUGAAAUUGAACUCGCUGUGAAGAUGCAGUGUACCCGCGGCAAGACGGAAAGACCCCGUGAACCUUUACUAUAGCUUGACACUGAACAUUGAGCCUUGAUGUGUAGGAUAGGUGGGAGGCUUUGAAGUGUGGACGCCAGUCUGCAUGGAGCCGACCUUGAAAUACCACCCUUUAAUGUUUGAUGUUCUAACGUUGACCCGUGAUCCGGGUUGCGGACAGUGUCUGGUGGGUAGUUUGACUGGGGCGGUCUCCUCCUAAAGAGUAACGGAGGAGCACGAAGGUUGGCUAAUCCUGGUCGGACAUCAGGAGGUUAGUGCAAUGGCAUAAGCCAGCUUGACUGCGAGCGUGACGGCGCGAGCAGGUGCGAAAGCAGGUCAUAGUGAUCCGGUGGUUCUGAAUGGAAGGGCCAUCGCUCAACGGAUAAAAGGUACUCCGGGGAUAACAGGCUGAUACCGCCCAAGAGUUCAUAUCGACGGCGGUGUUUGGCACCUCGAUGUCGGCUCAUCACAUCCUGGGGCUGAAGUAGGUCCCAAGGGUAUGGCUGUUCGCCAUUUAAAGUGGUACGCGAGCUGGGUUUAGAACGUCGUGAGACAGUUCGGUCCCUAUCUGCCGUGGGCGCUGGAGAACUGAGGGGGGCUGCUCCUAGUACGAGAGGACCGGAGUGGACGCAUCACUGGUGUUCGGGUUGUCAUGCCAAUGGCACUGCCCGGUAGCUAAAUGCGGAAGAGAUAAGUGCUGAAAGCAUCUAAGCACGAAACUUGCCCCGAGAUGAGUUCUCCCUGACUCCUUGAGAGUCCUGAAGGAACGUUGAAGACGACGACGUUGAUAGGCCGGGUGUGUAAGCGCAGCGAUGCGUUGAGCUAACCGGUACUAAUGAACCGUGAGGCUUAACCU
rnacentral:rRNA from 1 species